ensembl:lncRNA
CUCAAACCCUUCAGGAAGAAGGAUUUGAUCCUUCAAUGGAGGUUUGUUACUAGAGUAAUGAAGCAAUGCCUCUGCAGAUGCAGUACACAUCAAGACGUGAGACUUAUGAAGAGUUGCUGUAUUCACCUUGGCUCACGCUCCACCUCCGGACUCAGGAUACCAAGCAAUCAUUCUGAAAAUCUCUCUGUGCCUCACCGGUAGUGAUGGGCAGAUGAAGCUUCAUGAAGCACUGAAGCUUUUCAUCCAAUUGGUUCACUCCAGUGCAAAGCUUCUUGAAGCUUCAUUUGCUCUAGUAGGACACCUACUGGACGUAAAAAUAGUAGUUGGCAUGAAUUUGAAGAGUGUGGCCUUUUGCACACAGCCUGUAAAUGUCAACAACAAAAGGAGUGUGUAAAACAUGUAUAUUGUA